UUCAUUUUGAUAUUUUCUGCAGUCUAAACAUUAAUUUAAAUAUGAAUAUAAUUUGUAUGCACAGAUACUUGAGCUACAAUUUCAUGCCCAUAACUUGGACCCAAUGUAUUACAAUUCCUAUUUGAAGAAAAAAGUCUGUCCAUUAGGUUAGGUGGUGGAUAAAAAUGUUAGUGGUAAUUUUCAGAUUUCUUUUGAUCUUGAAAGACUUCUUUUAGUGUUCAUAUUUUCCGGCAAGUUACCGGAAUUCAGCCGAAAUCCGACAAGUCCACCACCCAAAAAGACCCCGAUUGCUCUAACCCAUUACUUUUUCCAUUUCUUCCCGGUGAAAAGUUCACCCAACGCUUCUCCUCUUCGCUGUUGCUGCCAGCAGCUCUCUCUAGCAGCAGCAAACAACAACAAGGGACCCAUUUUCCCCGGCCAAACCACCACCUGAAACCCCUCAAACCGCCAGCAAACAACAACCAAACUAAACCCCAACCUCCCCUUUUCUUCCCUUUUGAGUGAGUUUUUGCAAACAACCAAAAUCCUCAUCGCUCUUCAGCUCUAACCGGCCACAAAAUCGCUGCUAAACCUAGCCCCGUUCCUUCACGUACAGCUAACCAAACAGAACCCUUCCCCUUUAACCAUUUUUUCGUAUUUUUCUACUUGUUCCUUUGGCAGGUCUCAAGUGAGCUCGACUCCGGCCCGCACUACCAUGUGAAAUGGAUCUCCAACCAAUGCCAUCACUGGCCGACCAACAUCGAAAAAUAGCAACGCCAACUCUGGCGAACAGAAUUAGUGAGCUCACAAGUCCAAAUCAGCAACACAACUUCAUUCCGACAAAUGGAUCUGGCCGAAGGGGUUCAAACUCCGGCCGUUGUUAUUUUUCGAUAGAAUCUUUGUUUUCUUUGAUUAAGAAAAAUGUUUGGUUUGCUACUCUACUUUGCCCUCUUUUUAACUUUUUGAGUCAUUUCGGUUUUGCUUGUAUUUAUUUAUGGACUCAUUACUCGCUUCAUCCAAUAGUUGCUGCUUUAUUUUUGUUUA